GAUGAACGCUAGCUACAGGCUUAACACAUGCAAGUCGAACGGAGUGCCUUUGAAAGAGGAUUCGUCCAAUUGAUAAGGUUACUUAGUGGCGGAUGGGUGAGUAACGCGUGAGGAACCUGCCUUGGAGUGGGGAAUAACACAGUGAAAAUUGUGCUAAUACCGCAUAAUGCAGUUGGGCCGCAUGGCUCUGACUGCCAAAGAUUUAUCGCUCUGAGAUGGCCUCGCGUCUGAUUAGCUGGUUGGUGAGGUAACGGCCCACCAAGGCGACGAUCAGUAGCCGGACUGAGAGGUUGACCGGGCCACAUUGGGACUGAGAUACGGGCCCAGACUCCUACGGGAGGCAGCAGUGGGGAAUAUUGGGCAAUGGGCGCAAGCCCGACCCAGCAACGCCGCGUGAAGGAAGAAGGC
rnacentral:rRNA from 1 species